UGACGACGACACAACCCCCAGUAACGACACCUCUGCUCACUACAACACCAGUGUGUACUGGGUUCCCAUGUGCCACGGUGCCUGGCUGUAUCCAUCCUAACAACACCUGUGAUGGGGAGGACGACUGUGCUGAUGGUUCUGAUGAACAAAACUGCCAGGUAACCUGUGAUACGCUGCAGUUCCCCUGCUAUGAUGGAUUGCGAUGUCUGAACCUGACCUACGUCUGCGAUGGCCUGCCAAACUGCUUGGACGGGUCCGAUGAGUAUGAUGAGAUUUGCAAUGAGACGUGUACACAGUUCCGCUGUGAUAGCGGGAAGUGCAUCAACUUCACCAAGCUGUGUGAUGGGAAAAAUGACUGUGCAGAUGGGGAGGAUGAGACUA